GACAGAGGUGCCAAGCGUUAGGCGGGAUCACUGGGCUUAAAGCGUGUGUAGGCGGAUCGUUAAGUACCUUGUGAAAUCCCACGGCUCAACCGUGGAACUGCUCGGUAUACUGGCGAUCUUGAGCCACCUAGGGGCAACUGGAACAAGCGGUGGAGCGGUGAAAUGCGUAGAUAUCAGGAGGAACACCGGUGGCGAAGGCGGGUCUCUGGGCCGAUACUGACGCUGAGGAGCGAAAGCGUGGGGGGCGAACAGG
rnacentral:rRNA from 1 species